rnacentral:rRNA from 1 species
CGUAGGGCUUCGGCCCUGUCGAGAUAGAACCCUUGCCUUUUUGAGUACCUUUCGUUUCCUCGGCAGGCUCGCCUGCCAAUGGGGACCACAAAAAACACUUUGCAGUACCUGUAACAGUCUGAACAAACAAAACAAAAAUUAAAACUUUCAACAACGGAUCUCUUGGUUCUGGCAUCGAUGAAGAACGCAGCGAAAUGCGAUAAGUAGUGUGAAUUGCAGAAUUCAGUGAAUCAUCGAAUCUUUGAACGCACAUUGCGCCCUUUGGUAUUCCUUAGGGCAUGCCUGUUCGAACGUCAUUUAAACCUUCAAGCUAAGCUUGGUGUUGGGUGACUGUCCGCUUCACUGCGGACUCGCCUCAAAAUUAUUGGCGGCCGGUACAUUGGCUUCGAGCGCAGCAGAAACGCGAACUCGGGCCCGUCGUAUUGGCUCCCAGAAGCUAUCUUCACAAUUUUGACCUCGGAUCAGGUAGGGAUACCCGCUGAACUUAAGCAUAUCAAUAAGCGGAGGA